UUUAGCAUUAAACAAAAGCAUUUCCUCUCUCUUCCUCCCCUCUCAUUUUCGUCCAUCUCUCUCUCCCUCUCUACUCUCACUAUUUUCUUUUCAAUCCAUCAUGGAAGAACACUCCAAAGCUUCUAAACACAUAGAUCCACCAUCACCAUUCCUAGAGCUAGCCUUCAAUCACCAAGAAUCAAGAGAAUGAUCAAGCUAGAGUUUCCAAACCCAAGUGGAUCAAAGAGUUCGCCAUUUUCUUAAAUAUUGAGGGUAAGUGGAUCAACCUUAAGAUUCCUUAAAUCUACCUCCAUUUCUUGAUGUUUUGAUGGAAGAAAACAAGAAAAUCAAACCCCUCCAUCAUUUCUCUAAUUUUCGAAAAUUGGGGGUAUUUUUACCCUUCAAAUAUUUUCACUUUCUUUUCUUAAAUCGAGGCAAUAAUUAUGUAAUUGAGAACCUAUUGAGUUGAUAUCCAUGAGUUUUUAAAAGGAUUAGAAAUGAUUUUGAAUUUUCAAAGAGUUUAGUUUGCUAAAUUUGGGAAGUUUUGAAUUUGAGGUUGAUUGAUGAAUUGAUGGAUGAUAUAUGCUAUUGAGAGUGUUUAUAUGAGAUUUGAUGGAUUGGAUUGAUGGUUGAAUUGUAUUAGUUAAUUUUGAUUAUGUAGUUAGUUUGAUGUAAUUUGGGUAAAAUUGAUUCUAUGGUUUAAUUUACUAAUUGAUUGCUUAUUUCUGUUUUCAUAAUACAACCCGGAAGAUAUUUUUUUUAUCUACACCUACCCACCAUUUCCACCCACUCUCCCCACUCACACUUUCCACUCUCCCCACUCACACUUCACACCAUACUUUGCCCCCCACCAAAAUAAACUUUAGCCAUAAUACUCAUUCCCUUCCACCCACCAUUUCAGACUUGUCUGCAAAGCCAUUUCCUCUUGGCAAUUCCCACCAUUUCAGACUCUCUCUUUGGCGUACAGAAUCCAGCACACAAGUAAGAUUUCUAAAUCAGUUUCUUUACAUUCUUCCCUAUGAAUAAGAGCCUUCAUUUAAAUGGUAUUCAUAUCUAUGAACCUUCUUUUCCAGCAAACAAACAGGAUCAACACUCACUGAAAUUUCUCACAAGGUAGCCAUUUGAUUUCUUUUACCUCUGCUCAUAAAUCGAACUUCAAGCUGCAAGCUUGUUCAAAGCUAUAUACAAUUUGAUAUAUACCCAGCAACGCAUUUCAAGCAUUUCAUUAAAAUGACAUUCAUAAUCAUAAGCAUACAAUCUGUAUAUAUAUAUAUAUUCAUACAUCAGAGCAUGAUUUAUAAAAGAAGAAGUAGAGGAGGACGACUUUUCGAAGCUUGGUUUCUCCAUGUCUCAGUUCUUGCUUCUAGCUUGUUGAGUGAGUGUUGUGUUUCUGCUGAGUCGAGUCAAGGGAGGGUUGUGUUGAGCGAGAGGUAGAGGGAGGCUAGGGCUCGGCGGCGGCUUCGCAGUUGUUGUCCGGCCGAGGAUGGAGCAUGAGAGAUGAGGGCGGUAGCUGGUCGGGGUAGAGGUUAGGGCUCCGGCGGGCGGCUCCGGCUGCUGCUCGUCGGCGGGAGUCACAGAGAGAGUUCCGAGGGUGAUAAGAGGGCGGCGAUGGUGGCGGCAUGAAGCUGCUGCCGUCGGCCAAAGUUCAGCGGAGGGAGGUAGAGUCGGCGGACGGCGGCUGCGUGCUACCUCCGUCCAUGUGCUUGGGCUGUGUAGAAAGUCGAGGGUGGCGCGGCCUGCUGCUGCUGCACCUCCGGCGAGUUCAGUGGUGGCGGUUUUCGCCCAAGAAAGAAGAGUGGGGUGGGCGGAUCUUUCAACCGAGAUGUAGUGGUUACCGCCGCUUGCUCCGGCGAGCUCCAGCGGCCGUGAAGUCCGAGCAGUUCGAGGAGAGAGGCGAGCAGUCGUGAGCUUGAGGGAGAGGGAGUGACUGUGAGUGUGAGAGAGACGAAAUGGGGGGAUGAUGGCGCAGCUGUGUGGUGCGUGUGUUUGAGUGUGUGUGUGUGUUUAAAGAGAUGAAGAAUUGGGCUUUAGGUUUAGAGGAGUUGGGCUGAGUCAAAUUUUAUUUUGCUUGGGCUCUUUUAAUAAUGAGAUGGGCCACUGAAUUAUUUUUGGAAGCNGCGUGCAUACAUGAGAUCUUGUUAUAUAAGAAGAGUUAUGAGUCGAGCUUGUUUAUAUAUGGCUAUUUGAUGAUAAAUUGAGCUUGUAUAUGCGAUAUGAGACGAAACGGACCAACUCCUAAUGACUUAUGUGUUGGCCGAAUGUAAGGAGAAAAAGGGGAAGUCGAUGUUUGAAUUUUCUUGAGUUAUAUGAUCAUGUAUUUAUGUUAUUGUGAUUUAUAUGAGCUUAAUUUGAAUUUUUGAGAAUUUUUCAUCGAAGAAGUCCGGAAUUUAGGUAUAUUUGCUUUAUGCUCAAGUUUGGAGUUAAUUUGAGAACCUUUUUAAAGGCUACUGACCUACGGUUUUCGACGUGAUUUUGAUAUCCAAAAGCCAUGAAAAUUUUAUGAUAAGUAUACUUGAGAGUUUUGAGCACACCGGUAAAAUUUCAAGCCAUUCCAACUUCGUUUGAUAUUUCUUUCAAAUGAAAAACCUAAACUGCACAUUACUACCGAGAAUUUCAGAGAACAGGGGAAAGAGUCUUUCAUUUCAGUAGCUUCCUGUGUGAUAUAGAUUUCCAAAUUUUUAUGGUAUUACCCUUAUUGUGUUAGAUAGAUAUACACCAAAUUUGAGCCCAUUUUGACAACGUUUACUAUUUUUCAAAAAUCAAUGUUUUCGAAUGCCCAAAACUGCCGAAUAUGGUAGAUCGUGGUAAAAACGUCAUAUCUCUCAAACCACUUGGAGUUUUCGACUCUACUUUUUUUUAUAUGAAACUAGACUUGAAGAUCUUUCUUUCAGUAUGAGUCUCGAGUCCAGGAGAUGUCGGAGUCAGAACAUAUUAAAAUUUGAAGUUGAAUCAAUGUAAAAACAGAGCAUGUUUUAAUGAUGUUUGAUUGUGAUUCUUAUGUGCCUUAUGUGAUUGUGUUGUCUAUGUGUUUGAAUGAGAUUAGACGAGCCUUAUAUGAGAGAUAAAUCGAGACUUAGUACCAUGAUUUUCUUGAAACCUAUCCUUGAACUUAAGGAUUUGAGAUGAGUGGAGAGUUUAUAUAGAGUUGAGUAAGGAGAUAGAAUAUGAGAUAGAGCAUGAGUUAAGACUUUAUGAGUAUGGAUUUUAAAAGGAUUAAAAUGUUUUAAAUCAAUUCCAUUUUAAUGGAGUUUAAAAUGCUUAUUUAAGUCAUUUAUAAAUGAAUAAUGGAAUUUCGUAUUUAUUUACAUGGAAAUGAAAUGUAUAGAAUGUUAUAAGAUGGUGCAUGAUUAUUAUCUCUUAUGUGAACAUGUGAAUUUCUAAAUGAUAUUAAGUUUAAGGAUGUUGAAUUCUUUUAUUUUGUUUGUUAUGUGGUUACGUGAUAUUAUGUGGUUAGUCGAUGUUAUGUUGGUUUUUGAUUGUUUUAAUCGAAAUGAAUUAUGGAUGCUAGAACCCUAAAACACUAAAAGAUACCCUAAGCACGUAGAAUUAGACUUUGUCUUGUGACAAUUUUCUUCACGAACUUAUCGACUCUAUAUCAAUGAAGGUCCGGGCGACAAGAAGUGAAGCCGAAGAAGAAGCGACUCCACGCUAGCUUAAGAACGUUUGAGGUGGGCAUUACUUUUACUAUACGUAUGUAGAGAUCCCCUGCGUGACAUAGGCCUCUUAUACGAAUAUAUGCAUGAGAUGAUUUUAACUGUUAAUUUCAGUUUAUUAUUAUGCCCAAAUGAUAAAUGACUCUUAUGAAAUGAAAAUGAUAUGUUUAUGAAAUGAAAUGAAAUGUUUAUGAAAUGAUUGACUGCCAAAAAUGUUUAUGUUUUACGUAUGUAUCCUAUCUGUGUUGGUUCGCCAACUUUAAAGGAAAUCCAAUUGGGAUCCUAUGCUAGACAAAUGUCGCUAGCUAGGGUUAACGUGUACACUUAUGGAGACCGCGAGUCGCUUGCGACCGGUCUUGGCGUCCGUGGUAAGGAGGCCUCCUUCCCGGCGCGUGACAGAAAGGAACAGAUAUGGAUCAUAUGAAGGAAAAUGGGUCGGCCGGCCAAUCUUAUGAAAAUGAAAGAAAUGUUUUAGUAAGCGCAGGACUUUCAAGAAAACCCCUGUGUGUUACUGUUGGCAGUUCAAUUUAUAUAUGUUAUGCAUGACUGUAUUUUCGGCAUAUAUCCACUGAGUAUUUUUAUACUCAGCCCUGCAUGUAUUUCUAAAUGUGCAGGUUGAGCAGCUGAUGGAAUGGAAUGGUGUUGAGCGGGUGGUCCUUUGAUCAUUUCAAGAAAUGUAACCUUGAGUAUACAUCUUCAUAUGUAUAUCUCACACGUUUUCCGCUGCAAAACACUUUGAUUAGGAUAACUCUAUGUUGUGAAGUUGUGACACGUGAUAUUGGGUAACCCACCUUAAUCAGUUCUCCUUUAUGUGUAUGUGUUAUAAGUAUCCAAAUGAUCAUAUAUGAUCCUAACAUUUUAUCUAUAAGUGACAUUUCCAUAUACUCUAAUGUUAAGUAAUUAUCCAUUUCCGUUCCCACUCAUUAAUUCUCAU
rnacentral:lncRNA from 1 species